GUCACUUGGUCGUCUGCAUUAUGAACGAGAGCCACGUCUGCUCCGGAUUUUCAUGAAAAAUUAUUUUCCUCCAUCAGAAAAAAAAUUAAGUGAAUUCUAAAGACGAUGUGGACUCUAGUGUUACUUCUCGUUACUUUCGAAUUUCCUCUGGCGCUGAACGCAGCAGCCAUGGGGAGCGACAGCAUCAGUGAUUAUGAGAGGCUGAGACAGCGUGUUUCGCGUGAGUCGAUGAUCACGACGACCAUUAUGAACAGCGUGAACGUCGUGCAGCUGGAGCUGUCGACCAUGAUCACGGAGCAGAAACAACAGAACGACGACAUUAAGCUGCUGAUGCAGCAGGUGGCGGCUCUGUCCAAACUGAACACCCAGUUGAAUUUCGAGUUGAACAAAGUGAAACAGAACUUGACUGAAUCUAACCAGAGACUUAAGGACAUGAUUGACCAGAAUGACGACAAAGCAGAGGAAAAGUCUGGGUCACUCGCCAGGGAUGUAGGAGACGUUAGGAAAGAGAUUUCACGUCAGAAUAACGAUAUAGAAGUACUUCAGGUGGAUCUGAAGCAGCUACAGCGGUCGACAGUGGAUGACAGGGUCUUCGUUGACAAAGUGUCGUCGAUUUCACAAGAAAUGGGCGAGAUUAAGACAGCUAACGGUAUGAACAGUCUCGUUAUAGAGGAGCUACAACAGGAGGUCAACAAGGUCAAAUUAUCCAAGGUUAGCAAUGACGAUUUCAAUGAAAAGUACUCGCGGUUGGAGGAAGAACUUGAUUACGUCAGAGAGCAUGGUGUCAACAAUAGUAUCGCUAUAAGUGAGAUAGAAGAUGAGAUGGACACCAUAACUUUCAAUCAAACCAAGCAUGACAACAAUCUGUUAUAUCUUAACCAAAAAGUGCAAACCUUGCAAAGAAGAAGCGACAAAUUAGAAUCAGGUAUUAUUAACAUGACGGACGAUAUGACGUCAUUUGAUUCAAGUACUAAAGGAAUGACCACAGUUAUUUCCGAAAUGCAAGGCGAUCUGAGUUUAGUGCAGAAGAGUAGCGCGGACCUGGGAGAAAUUGUUUUGAGACUUACGAACGAUAUGAUGUUUCUGCAAACGAAUACGGUAACACUAACAGACACCAUCACCGGAGUGGAAAGUAACGUGACGUCACUCCAACUGGACAGUGAACGUCAUGACGACUCUCUGAGGAACAUAAAGAGAAACGUCUCCAUUAUCAAAGAUGUUCAGAACGCCAUUGAGAGCGAUAUCUUCAAAAUGAGAAAAUAUCUCAUCUCUCAGAAAGAUAGCAGCGAGGGAAUGGCGGUGGUUAUUUUCAGGCUGACGAACAAUCUGACGUCAUUAAGGGAGAAGGACGAGAAACUCGAACAGGCGCUAUUUAAGAUAUAUCAUAACGUCACACAGCUGAACGAAGAGGAAAACAUUCUCAGAGGUGAAGUCAGGAACCUCAAAGAGAAUGUGACGUCACUCAGCGAGAAGAACAGAAACACGGAUGACAAGGUUGAUCACAUCUCACAGAAACUCCUCUCCGUCUACAGACAGAGCAACAAAUUUGACGAAGAACUCUUCGACCUUAAAAACUCUCUAUUCGUUUACGACGACCGAAGCAAGAAGCUCAGCGACUCAUUGACUGGAAUUGAGAACAACGUCACAACCAUUCAGCAGCGAUUUGACGCACUGAGCGGCGUCAUUGAGAACCUGAUGCAUAACGUGACGUCAAUAGAACGAGGGAACGGACUGCUUGAUGACGCAAUAGAUCAGCUGAGUCACAACGUGAAGUCCCUACAGAAGCAGAAAGAGAGCGUGGGAGAUGUCAGACCCCGCCCUACCACCACACAGGUGGCGCUGCCGAGGAACGCAAAUACUCCACGGGUGGCUUUUACGUCACAGAUCAGCCUAGAGGGCGCCAUGUCUGACGUCAAGCGGAACCAGACGAUCGUGUUCGAUUUAGUGGAAUACAAUAUGGGCGGGGCUUACGACCCGACCACCGGGAAAUUCAAAGCUCAAGUAUCCGGGACUUACGUCUUCUUUUUCAACAUCCUGACCCGCCCUCACAUGAGGUUAGGCGUGGAUCUAACCAUCAACGGAGAGACCAGAUCCGCAUGCGCGCCCACAAGAGCCGGGAUCCGCCCCCUGGUGUCAUGCUGUCCAGCUUUGCCAAUAGUUUUGCUGGUUUCCUUCUCUAUUCAGAUUAAAAAGCAUUGACUUCUCUUUUUAAAACAUUUUAUAAAUAUUUACAACCAUUUUAUUUUACACAAAUAUUUAUUUUAGUUGUAUCUAUUGUUUUGCAUAUCGUGUACACUGUCUUGUAUACAUUAUUUCAUUUCAGACAUUUUGCGUUAUUAGUGCAUGUUCACGAUGUCAUUUUAUUGAAAUAAAGAAUGAUGAAAUGU
rnacentral:misc_RNA from 1 species